CCAUUUUCGGUUAAUCUACCUAAUAGCAUUGUGACCGUAAUACAUGUAACUAAAAAAUCAUUUUACAAAAUAUUGUUGUAUAUAUUGUGCAUGUGUGUUGUUUACUGAUAUGCAUUAUACACAUGUGUAACAUUUUACAACAGGAUGCAGUUUGUUGUAAUUGUAUCAUGUUCCAGUCUAAAUAUAAUCUGUACAUACAUGUAAACAAUAAUAAUUAUCUUUAAUGAUAUUUUUUACCCUUUAGCUAUUUAGAUUGGAUUUGGAGAUUGGGAAAAAGAUUAAAGUACAUGUAACUACAAAUGGACUUGUGUAUCCAUAGAAUUAAGAUUCAAAACCUAUAAUGUUUUUAGGUGAUGAUAAGAAGGCAUUAAUGCUCCAUUGUUAACUGUGGCUUAGUAUGUCGUUUAUUAAGUUAUUGAAUAAAUUUUGUUUUUUUACUUUUGAUACAUGUACAUGCACAUAAAGAAAUAAAUUAAGUUCUUGUAUUUAUCUUUUAAGGUUAUAAGAUGUUUACUGCAUUUUAUAUGAUGAAAAAUCUGAAGCCAAAAUAAGAUGAUGAAAAUAUAAAUAUUAUAAAGCAAUUUCUUUUUUAUGAAUAGUAAUAAAUUUAGAGUAAUGUU
rnacentral:sRNA from 1 species